GACGAACGCUGGCGGCGUGCUUAACACAUGCAAGUCGAGCGGUAAGGCCCUUUCGGGGUACGACGAGCGGCGAACGGGUAGGAGUAACACGUGGGUGGACCUCGCCCUCCAGCUCUGGGAGUAAGCCUCGGGAAACCGGGGUACUAAUACUGGAUAUGACUCCAUGACGCAUGUUGUGGGGUGGAAAGCCUUGUGCGGCUGAGGAUGGGCCCGCGGCCUAUCAGCUUGUUGGUGGGGGUGAGGCCUACCAAGGCGACGACGGGUAGCCGGCCUGAGAGGGCGACCGGCCACACUGGGACUGA
rnacentral:rRNA from 1 species